GGCGUGGUAGCCAAGUGGUAAGGCAGCAGUCUGCAAAACUGCUAUACAUCGGUUCAAUUCCGAUCCACGCCU
rnacentral:tRNA from 2 species